AGAAGUGGAGCAUCUCUAUUGCACUUUAGAAGCAGAAGCAGUAAAGCCCCAAAAUACUGAGACAGCACCAAUGAUCUGAAUCUUGGAAUUCUAUUCUCUGAUUCAACGUGUUACAAACAAACAUAUUCCACCUGUUACAACAAUCUGGCAUAUUACUUUCUUGAUACGUGAUGAUACAAUACCUCUCAGGUUUGCGAGUAGCAAAGAGAAAUCUGGUUCCACAACUAUCAGAUGACAGUCUCAGAGGAUUUUGGUUCUUCCAGGGAACUGCAGGACAACUGCAAAAGUGGAUGUCUGAGUAACAUGGCCAUGUACAGAGGAGUCCUAAUCCAUGAGCCUGUCUCUUUGGUGCAAUCACAAUAUAAGCAAGCAGAAAACACAAGAGAUG